rnacentral:ncRNA from 1 species
AAAUAGCUGCCACCGGGUAGAUGAACGAGGAGCGUUCUUUUUCACAUCAUUAGGUCUUAGAAGAUGUGAAAGGGAAGGCUUAUUUUUU